UUCCCCUCUCAUUAAGCAUAAUUUUACUCAACAGCAAAGACUAAUAAAGCAGAACCUUUUCAUGAACUCUGGAUUUCUGUGAAUGCCUUUGGCAUUUUCUCAGUAUAGCCAGCUUCUAUAACAAUUGCACAUUCAUAGUGAGCAAUCUGAGUGGCUAAAAAAGGAACCACUCACUUUUGUUCGUAUCAAUAGUCUCAAAGGGAAGACAAUGGAGAUUUAGUCAGGCCUGGAAAUGUCAACAACAAGAACAAAACGCUACCUACCUGCAAUGCAUAGAAACUGAACAGCGGUGAGAGCUUCGGAGGUCCUCAUGUGCUCAGCAGAGGCUCCUGGACCACAUCUGCACUGCAAUGUCUCCUUUUCCCAGCAUCAUUUCCCUCACUUCCUUUCACAGGCAUUGAUCUCAAGGGUACUUCCUGUAAAUUUUGACCACUAAGCUUUG